CUGGCGGGGAAUCGGCUUAGUCGAAUAAAGUUCUAGAUAGAAUAGUGAUUAUGACAAUUUUCUAUCUAAAUGUCUUGACCAAGUCACGUGCCAGCAGUCGCGGUAAUACGUGGAAGACUAGUGUUAUUCAUCUUUAAUAGGUUUAAAGGGUACCUAGACGGUAUUUCUAGCCCCAAAAGGGUACGGAUUUACUAGAGUUUUAUGUGAGAGGCAAAUAUUAGUACUAUUGGUGUAGAGAUGAAAUUCUUUGAUACUACUAGGACUGGUGGCGGCGAAAGCAACCCUCUAAGUAUAAACUGACGUUGAGGGACGAAGGCUUGGGUAGCGAAUAGGAUUAGAUACCCUAGUAGUCCAGGCAGAAAAUUAUGAGUGCCAUAGACUAGAUUAAAUAAUUUUGGUCUAUAAAUGAAAGUGUAAGCAUUCCACCUCAAGAGUAAUGUGGCAACGCAGGAACUGAAAUCAUUAGACCGUUUCUGAAACCAGUAGUGAAGUAUGUUAUUUAAUUCGAUAACCCUCGAAAAACCUUACCACAAUUUGAAUGUAAUACAUGAAGUAGUCUAAUAAUUGUAUAGUCAACGCAUUCUAUGACAUGAAGUAGUCUAAUAAUUGUCUACUCAACUAUUUCAUGUAUUAACACAAGCGUUGCACGGCUGUCUUCAGUUAAUGUCGUGAGAACUUGGUUAGAUCCAUUAAAUUAACGUAAUCCCUUUCGUUAGUUCUCUGAACUAAUGAAGUUCACCGCUAUAU
rnacentral:rRNA from 1 species